UGAGUAAGCUAGACGGUCGCGCUUAGAGCAAUCUAGGUGAGGAAAGUCCGAGCUCCAUAGGGCAGGGUGCCAGUUAACGGCUGGUGGAGGCGACUCUAAGGAUAGUGCAACAGAAAUAAACCGCCAUGUUACGUUACAUGGUAAGGAUGGAAAGGUGAGGUAAGAGCUCACCGCUUUCUUGGUAACAAGAGAGGCAUAUGUAAACCCCACUCGGUGCAAGACAUUAAAGUGUGAUGGCGGCCCGCUUAGCACUUGGUUAGUCGCUUGAGCUUAUUGGUGACAAUAAGACUAGACAGAUGACCGUUCAAGACAGAACUCGGCUUAUCGGCUUGCUCACUUU
rnacentral:RNase_P_RNA from 1 species